rnacentral:rRNA from 1 species
CAAUAGCGUAUAUUUAAGUUGCUGCAGUUAAAAAGCUCGUAGUUGGAUUUCGGGUGGGAAUGGCCGGUCCGCCGUUUCGGUGUGCACUUGCUACGCCCACCUUGCUGCCGGGGACGUGCUCUUGAGUUCACGCUCGGGACACGGAGUCGGCGAGGUUACUUUGAGUAAAUUAGAGUGUUCAAAGCAGGCCUACGCUCUGAAUACAUUAGCAUGGAAUAACACGAUAGGACUCUGGCCUAUCUUGUUGGUCUGUAGGACCGGAGUAAUGAUUAAGAGGGACAGUCGGGGGCAUUUGUAUUUCAUUGUCAGAGGUGAAAUUCUUGGAUUUAUGAAAGACGAACUACUGCGAAGGCAUUUGCCAAGGAUGUUUUCAUUAA